rnacentral:rRNA from 1 species
UACAGAGGUCUCAAGCGUUGUUCGGAUUCAUUGGGCGUAAAGGGUGCGUAGGUGGCGCUGUAAGUCGGGUGUGAAAUUUCGGAGCUUAACUCCGAAACUGCAUUCGAUACUGCGGUGCUUGAGGACUGGAGAGGAGACUGGAAUUCAUGGUGUAGCAGUGAAAUGCGUAGAGAUCAUGAGGAAGACCAGUGGCGAAGGCGUGUCUCUGGACAGUUCCUGACACUGAGGCACGAAGGCCAGGGGAGCAAACGGG